AAGCAGAGAGAGAAAAACAUUAUCUCUUUCUAUCUUUCUCCGCCUCUCUUUCUCCUUCUCCCUCAUCUUUUCUCUCCUUAUUCGAACUCUGGAAAAUCCCCUGAACCUAUCAAAAAUAAACCCUAAAACCUGCGAUAAAUCAAUAACCAUAUCUCACAUCUGCAAACCCAUUUUUCAGAAAUCAAAACCAUCUUUCAGUGACCUGAUUUCGCGAACCCAGUAGAUUCAAGUAGAAACCCUAGAAAGUUGAGGACAAGAAUCAUGUAAAUUCGAAUGAAAUUUUGCUAAAUAAACCCUAAUUUAAUUUUUGGAGACAGAUUUACGAUUUUCUUUUGCCUUAACUUUUUUUUUUUUGAAUGCAGUGACCUUAGUUUCCGUGAUCGAUUUUCUCGUUGGUUCUUGUGAUUUAUUUAUCCUUAAUCUCCCUCUUCGGUACUCUUUCUAUUUGUUUUUCUUGGUCACAUGGUUAGUUGCACCUUUUGUUUCUCUAAUUUGGGUUUUCUUUCACUUUUUUUUAUGAGCAAAUUUUAUUUUGCUCGAUAGGAUUUUGUUUACAGAUUUUUUCUUGUCUAUUGUGUAUUAUCUUUAUAUAGAUUUCCUUACUUUUUUCCUUUUAUGGAUAACUAAUUUUGGAUUUGGCGGUGAUGCAUGUAGAAAUUGGUAGAGCUUUAUGGGUUUGUCAUGGUGGAUGGAAAUUUUGUUGUAGAGAUUGACUUCAAAUGUUGGUGGUUGAUGGUAUUUUUCUUGUAAUUGUUGUUGGUGGUAGUUUGAUGGUGAAGCUGGUGGUUCUGUAGCUGUUGGUGUUAUGGGUGGCUGUAAGUGUUUCUCAUGGUAGCUUUGGUGAUAGUGACUGCUGGACUUUCUCUUGUUGGUGGUGAACCAUUGCUCUACUGGAGAAACACAUGUAAAUUCUUUUAAAAAUGAUGGAAUCAGAAAGUCUUCUACCAAAGGUGGAGUUCAGAAAGCUCGAGGCUGUAACGUCGAGAAUCGAAAAAUGAUUAGACAAACAACACUUUUGUGUUGCUACUGCUGUUGGGGUAAUUUGUAUAAUCAUUAAUUAGAAGGGUAUUUUGAUGUUUAAUAAGAUCUCUGGUAUAUAAAAGGGAAAUUUGAUGUUCGAUAAAAGGUUUUUGAUCCUUAAUUAGUCUUUGAUCAGACUUUGUAAAGUAUUUCUACAGUAUAUUGCAGGAGUUGCAAUAGCUAGUCUUAUUGGAGUCUCAUUUCUGGUCCCGACAAGGCAGAUGUAAUUUUUUGUUUCGAAUGUCAACUUAAAAAAAAGCACAGAUAGUCAGUUGUUGCUAAUUUAUUGUUUUCCUUGUGUUCACGGGAAAGUAUGGUUGAGGUCGGUGAGGAUCUGUUAUGUGAAAGACUGAUGUGAAUGAUAACUACAUAAGAAGUGGGAUGACACGUUCCAGAAGGCUCACAAUUCGAUGCUCAUCUCUAUGAUUCCACGCUGAAACGUACUUCACCGAUGGAGGCUAUUAGUGCAAGGCAGUUCAUCCCAUCGCACUCGGGAAGCUCAUGAGCAUUGCUCAAAUGAUGAAAUCAGAAUUUGCUGACAAGGAUUACUCACUUCCUGGCAUUAGAGGAGUUGGGACCGGCUUGGAUGCUGCUGAAUUCAUUCUUAUUGGAGCAAAUAUAGUUCUGGAUGGUGUUUCACUAAAUGGGGAAGGGACUAUGGUGCCAAAGCUGAAUGUAAUACAUGAAUGAAAAGGUACAGUUCACGGGUCUUUAGCUUAUGCUGGAAAAGUUAAGAGGAUCAACGUUGGUCAAAUUCUCUGUAUUGCUCUUUUAUUUAUUUUGUUUCUCUGAUAUAGCUUUUCGGUGGAAACUUUUCCUUACAUUUACAUCGCUUUACUAGUGAAACACCUCGAUAUGGAAAGGGAAGCGAGACACCAAUGCAUCCUUCACGAACUCCACUGCAUCAAGCAACACCGAUACACAAUGGUAUGCGAGCACAUACACGAAAAUGCUUAUGCUCCCAUGAGUCUUGCAAGGGUAUAUCUUUAAUCAGAUUGUUCUUUUAAGGCCUUUUAAUUGGUUAAGUAGUUUAGUUUGCAAUAUGAUGAUUGUGUAUAUCUAAUGCCUAGUACAAUUGUUAUUGCCCGUGUAAAUUUAAGCUUGUUUUUUAGGGGUUAGUAGAUAGAGACUGAUGCUGACACUACGUAAUUGUGUGUUUUAGAAUACUAAUAUCUUCAAAUUUGAAUAUCUGUGAUCCAAGUUAGUUAUAGUAACAUUAACUCAUGAUUAACACAUUUCUAUGAUGGUUGUUUCAAGUUGUUGCUAUAUCACCUUAGCUCAUAAGCUUCAACUGGCUGUUAUCUUUAUUGAUGACAUUGAUAGAUUUUUGGGGUAUCAUCGUGCAACGAACUGCGAAGCUUUGACAAACAUGAAAAAAGAGUUUCAUGGCUUGCGACUCUACAAGUUACAGGUAUUUCUAGAUAUUGUGGAACUGUGAAUCUUCUUAUGUCCUCAAAAGUGUUUUGCGUUGUGACGGGACUGGUAAAAUUCUCAUGAAAUGAUCUCUCUGGUAUGCCUGACCUGAACUUAGGCCUGAAGAUAAAACUGGACUUGAAAAUGAAUCGUAGCUUAAUUUCUUUCCUACCAAAAGGUCCUCCUGAGGGUCAUCAUCUCUUGCAAGCAGUUAAAUGCAUUUUCCUUGGGUUAUGUUUUUGCAACUAUUCAAUCUUUUAUAGCCUUUAAUCUGAUGCAUGCGAAUUAUUGCUUAUGGUUGCUGCCGCAUUAUUGUUACUGUGUACCUCAUCAUGCCUAUGGUUUUCACUGCCUAUAUAUAUGGUUUAUUUGUUCAUCUCCAUACUGAUGUUAGGAAUGAAGUCACUAUGUAAAUGUUGUUGUUGCUGUUGUCUUGAUGAUGGGUAUAUUAGACCACCUCUGUGUAUAUUGUGUGUGAAGUCAUGUAAACCUAGCAUAUAAGGUCUGACUUACUCUUCUUCUGAAUGUAGUUUGAUACCUUCAUGGAUGCCGGCACUCUGUUCCCGAUGGUGGUAAGAUCGUUGCUCCUGCUGGAUGUAGAAAUGGUUGAAAGAGUUGCGCGUCUACAGUUCUGCUCUCACGCAAGCUAGUGACAAGAUUCUAAUGACUGAAAUUCUUGUUGAAAUUCUCAGGACUUGUAUCACUUAAGAAACCUUAAUAAUUAGAAGUUUUUUGUAAUGAUUUUGGACUAAAUUUAUGAAUAUAGUUCAAUGUAAUCGAGAUGUCAUUUGGUAUUUUAGACGAAUCAGGUUCCAUAUAGAAUUUGAAUUUGAAUUUGAGAACU